AACGAACGCUGGCGGCAUGCCUAACACAUGCAAGUCGAACGAGACCUUCGGGUCUAGUGGCGCACGGGUGCGUAACGCGUGGGAACCUGCCCUUAGGUUCGGAAUAACUCCCCGAAAGGUGUGCUAAUACCGGAUAAUGUCUUCGGACCAAAGAUUUAUCGCCUUUGGAUGGGCCCGCGUUGGAUUAGCUAGUUGGUAGGGUAAAAGCCUACCAAGGCGACGAUCCAUAGCUGGUCUGAGAGGAUGAUCAGCCACACUGGGACUGAGACACGGCCCAGACUCCUACGGGAGGCAGCAGUGGGGAAUAUUGGACAAUGGGCGAAAGCCUGAUCCAGCAAUGCCGCGUGAGUGAUGAAGGCCUUAGGGUUGUAAAGCUCUUUUACCCGGGAUGAUAAUGACAGUACCGGGAGAAUAAGCACCGGCUAACUCCGUG
rnacentral:rRNA from 1 species